UCAUUCCCCAACCAUUGGAUCACCCACCUUUUAGAUCAGAUUUUUGGAUAUGACCCACUUUUUAAGCCCAUUAAUGAAAAAUUCCCGCUUAUACCUUCGCUCGUUUUCCCUUUCCCGCUGCUCACGAAAUCCCAGCCCUAAUAUCAGAGCAUGGAAAUUGAACAGCAAACAACCCAAUAAAGGAGUAGGCGACGACGACGGCGACGGCUGCGUUCCAGACGGUGGAUUCCGGCGGCUGCGUUCCAAACGGUGGUAAGUUUAUCAUCAAUCUCUACUUGUUGAAAUCCUAAGUCUCCGCCGCACUCCAUCCGCCUUAAUCUCCGACGCCACUCCGAAAACGGCUGGAGAGGCUGCAAGAACUGCUGGAGUGGGAGCUUAUUCAAAUAGAUUAGGAGAACCUCCUAGCCAGGUUGAAGUUGGAGAUGUGGUCAGAGGUGACUGAGACAUUAGGGUCUUCAUAUGGGACAACGGGGGUGGCGUGCUUAUGGCUAUAAUGGCGGUGACCGGAGGUUUGAUUCCAGUGUAAAGGAGUAGGCGACGGCGACGAUAUAUCCUCAAGUCGGCGGCUGCGUUCCAGACGGUGGAUUACGACAGCUGCGUUCUAGACGGUGGAAGAUACUAAUGUAGGAGACAAUUAUGGGCCACUUUUGGUUCUUAUAGGGAAUUGUAACGUGUAUGAUAAUAAGCUUGGAAGAUAUUUCGUUGAUCUUCAAGGACAUAUGGUACAGGUGAAACACAUACAAAUAUAACUAUGGAAGAAAAGCUGAAAACAUAGAGUCCCGUUUCGAACAAUUUCAACAAGAGCGCGAAAAAGAGCGGGCCGAUCAAGCUGCAUGGCAAAAAACUAUGGAAGAAAAGCUGAAAAACAUCGGAAAUAAGUAAAAACUCUGGUCUUGUUAAGUAUUGAAAUGUUAGAGUUCGGAUUAGUUUUGAAUGCUUGUAAUUUGGAUUUUUUGUGCGUUUUGGAAUGUUUUAGAAUUUCUACAAUGUUUGGAAUGUUUCAGAAUGUUGCUUUAAUAUUUUUGGAAGAUUUUAAAAUUUUGCUGCAAUUU